rnacentral:rRNA from 1 species
GAUGAACGCUGGCGGCGUGCCUAAUACAUGCAAGUCGAGCGAAGCGGGGACGGGUGAGUAACACGUGGAUAACAUCCUAUAAGACUGGGAUAACUUCGGGAAACCGGAGCUAAACCGGAUAAUUAGAGAUGGAUCCGCGCUGCAGUAGCUAGGUGGUAAGGUAACGGCUUAGCAAGGCAACGCUGCAUAGCCGACCUGAGAGGGUGCUCGGCCACACUGGAUAUGAGACACGGUCCAGACUCCUACGGGGGGCAGCAGUAGGGAAUCUUCCGCAAUGGGCGAAAGCCUGACGGAGCAACGCCGCGUGAGUGAUGAAGGUCUUCGGAUCGUAAAACUCUGUUAUUAGGGAAGCGUUACCUAAUCAGAAAGCCACGGCUAACUACGUGCCAGCAGCCGCGGUAAUUC